ensembl:lncRNA
GACACAUUAAGUUAAUGCUUAUGGGAGCAUUAUAAGCCCCAUUAUCCGUGGGAGCCAAUUUGACUUCAGCUCGCUUAAAUAUGGCAAAAUUAUGUUUCUGUCUCAAAAGUUAAUUUAAAUCAGAUACUGUUUCAGUGGAUUUGCAGUGCACAGGAACUCAUCCCAGGAGGUCACCCCAACACUGCACAGGAACUCACCCCAGGAGGUCACCCCAACACUGCACAGGAACUCAUCCCAGGAGGUCACCCCAACACUGCACAGGAACUCAUCCCAGGAGGUCACCCCAACACUGCGAAGUAGGAGAAAGAGAGAAGAAAAAUGCUCACUUUGAGGAC